CACCCCUUAACGCGGGUAUACCCCAGUUUAUUUUUAUUGUUGAAUCAGAUAAAGCGUUCUCUAAGCUUCAAAAUGAUACCAAGAUCGACCUCCUAGCUAUUUUCUAUCCGGAGAUAUGUUCGAGGGAACGCUACGAAGGUAUUGCAACGCCCUCUUGAGUAAAACGCUCAAACGUCAUGAAUAAUUGAAGUUCAAUUAUUGCCUUCCGGGCACUUCCGUAUACUCAUAAAGCUUCGUAAAAGAUGUUCUGGAGAAGACAAGUUAGUUAGAUGAAGGCUAGGCGUUCUAGGACUCUCUAGCUAGCUAGUAUAGCUAUGUAGCUGGAUUGCUUGGCACCUAGGAAGGAUCUUCGAAGAAAUAAAGAGGCAAAGACUGCCGUCGCUCUAAUGGUGGUGGUAAGUGUCAGAGGCCUAAGAAACGCUUGUCUAUUGGCUAGAAUGUUGUUAUGGAGUGUUUAUGAGGAUAAGUGGCACGGGAUACGUACAUCUAAAGAAACAAGAGUGGAUCUACGCCAAGCUAGCUAGCUAGAUAGCUGCUCUUUCUAAUCUAUUUCUGUUGCUAAAUUAUGUUUGUUAAGAAGUGGAGCUAUAAUAUACCUGGCUCCUCUUGAUGAUUGUAAGUACUGGGCUGAUGAAAUAGUCUUUACAAGUUGUCCUCUUUUAUUUGUUAAAAAUAAUUAACAAUAAUAGGGAAAUUCCCAGGGAAUUUCCCCUCACGUAGACAGUAAAUUUCAUUAUAAAAAUGAACGUUUGGUGAGUUUCUUCAACGUCCGCGCUUGACCUGUUUAAAGCUUUGUAGAGACCCAAAUUUUUACAGGUAGGUAGAGGAAGGGUUGAAGUUAGCACCUGUGAAAAAAAAAAUUUUUUGCCCAUGUUUUUCAUUUCUACUAAAUUGGCUUAUAGCUUAAUUUAAUUAGUGCCACGUUAAGGGGGGUUUUCCUAGGCCCUGUCACAUAAUUAUACCGUAGAACUUGGAUAGUGCAGAAUGAUG